rnacentral:rRNA from 1 species
CACGCAGUAAACGAUGAUUACUUGCUGUUUGCGAUACACAGUAAGCGGCGUAGCGAAAGCGUUAAGUAAUCCACCUGGGGAGUACGUUCGCAAGAAUGAAACUCAAAGGAAUUGACGGGG